UUGGCCUACCGUGGCAAUGACGGGUAACGGAGAAUUAGGGUUCGAUUCCGGAGAGGGAGCCUGAGAAACGGCUACCACAUCUAAGGAAGACAGCAGGCGCGCAAAUUACCCAAUCCUGACGCAGGGAGGUAGUGACAAGAAAUAACAAUACAGGGCAUCCAUGUCUUGUAAUUGGAAUGAAUAGAAUUUAAAUCCCUUUAUGAGUAUCAAUUGGAGGGCAAGUCUGGUGCCAGCAGCCGCGGUAAUUCCAGCUCCAAUAGCGUAUAUUAAAGUUGUUGCGGUUAAAAAGCUCGUAGUUGGAUUUCUGCCGAGGACGGCCGGUCCGCCCUCCGGGUGAGCAUCUGGUUCGGCCUUGGCAUCUUCUUGGUGAACGUAUCCGCACUUGACUGUGUGGUGCGGUACCCAGGACUUUUACUUUGAGGAAAUUAGAGUGUUUCAAGCAGGCGCACGCCUUGAAUACAUUAGCAUGGAAUAAUAAUAUAGGACCUUGGUUCUAUUUUGUUGGUUUCUAGAACUGAGGUAAUGAUUAAUAGGGAUAGUUGGGGGCAUUCGUAUUUAACUGUCAGAGGUGAAAUUCUUAGAUUUGUUAAAGACGAACUACUGCGAAAGCAUUUGCCAAGGAUGUUUUCACUGAUCAAGAACGAAAGUUAGGGGAUCGAAGACGAUCAGAUACCGUCCUAGUCUUAACCCAUAAACCAUGCCGACUAGAGAUGGGA
rnacentral:rRNA from 1 species